rnacentral:tRNA from 1 species
GGGGUUGUGGCUCAGAGGUAGAGCGAUCGCCUAGCACGUGUGAGGCACUGGGUUUGAUCCUCAGCACCACA